GGCUAGGGUAGCGUGCUGGUAAAAAAUAGCCGUCCGUGUUCAUUCGUAAGUGAAAGGAUUCUGCAUAUUGUCUAAAAAAUAUCAUGUAUCAUGCCUUUUACCCCCAUAGAUGUGGUGCCAGCACGCUCCUACGAACAUGGGGCCAAGUCAAAAAUAAAUAUUAAAAUAAUAUUCAAUGUGGUAAGUUGUAAGCAUCCAUUUGAAUAAUUUCAGGUGAAUCUAGCCUAUGAUUUGCAAUGGCCUAGGCUCCAACCUUUAGUCACAUGUUGAUUACCUGCAGCAAAUAAAAAUAAAUAAAUUAAUACGACUGGGAGGAGGACCGCUCCACCGCCCUUCACCACUUCGGAGGAGCUGGCUCUCGCCAAUAACGAAGGUCGGCCGAUGAUGGUAGGAGUGGAAGGGGGGGGGGUGUCCUCUGACCCCACUGCCUCGACUUCCAAGGCCUUUGUAAUGAGUAUGUAUUCGUGUAUUGGCAAUGGACAUCAAUAAUUGUCUUGCUAAUCAAAUUGUUGUGAAAUGAUUGAGUGUAAAUUAAUUGUCAUUUUUAGUUGAAGGUACAAACAUUAGUUUGGAGGAGCUGCCGACAAUCGAUCUCCAAUCAGAGGCGACAGUCGGCCUGUGACUCCAGGGCGACUAUGGAGCGGUUAUGUGUAUGCUGCUGAUGGUGGAUGCUGAUGCCUGCUGCAGGUCGCUGCUGCUUGAGGCGAUGGCUGCUUGAGCUGGCUGGUGCCGGAUAACACUGCUGCUCCAGGUCGAUGCUGCUUGAGGCGAUGGCUGCUUGAGCUGGCUGGUGGUGGCGAAGGAUGGUGGUGUCGCCUUCUGCUGCUAGUGGUGGCGGCUUAUGCUGGCGACGGCUGUUGGUGGCGGCGGCGGCGGCGACUGCUGCGAUUGUUGUCCUUCCUUUCGACCUGAUGCACUUUACUAUCCUUAACCUCAGCCUGAUGUUUGUGGAGUAUUUUCUUUGUUUAUUAAUAACUUAUAAUAUUCCUCCCUGUUCCUUCACUUUGUUCUUGUUUUACAAGUUAGAUAUACACGCACACCUGUUUACACAUUUGUUGUUCUUGUUGCACACAUGACUAACAUUGUUUUAUUUAUUGAUACCCCCUGGCUCUACUUUGCUGUUCUUGUUCACUUACUGUAUGUUUGCUUUGUUGUUCUUAGUCCUUGUUCCCACUUGUUUUUGGUUCCACAAACCUCAGCCUGAUAUAUCUGGCAUCUCAAACACUGGGUCCAGGGCCCCGUUUCCCGAUAACGAUGGAUCUUUCGAACCAUCGAUCAUUUCUUUGGAGCAUUUGGGGGGGGGGAUAUAGGACGUAAAUAUGGGCUAUUAUGACACGGCUCUUCUCAAUGCCGUGGAACGCUCCGUUCACUUGCAUGGGACCUUCACAACAACGCCAGCGUCUUCGACUUCUAAGCAACGUCAACGUCAACGGCUAACUAUUUCUCUGCUGAUCAACACUACGUAUGGUAACAAAUAAAUUAUAAAAAGACACCUUGUGAAGUCAGGC
ensembl:lncRNA